UUGAACGCUGGCGGAAUGCUUUACACAUGCAAGUCGAACGGCAGCACGGGAGCUUGCUCCUGGUGGCGAGUGGCGAACGGGUGAGUAAUGCGUCGGAACGUACCGAGUAAUGGGGGAUAACGCAGCGAAAGCUGUGCUAAUACCGCAUACGCCCUGAGGGGGAAAGUGGGGGAUCGCAAGACCUCACGUUAUUCGAGCGGCCGACGUCUGAUUAGCUAGUUGGUGGGGUAAAGGCUCACCAAGGCGACGAUCAGUAGCGGGUCUGAGAGGAUGAUCCGUCACACUGGAACUGAGACACGGUCCAGACUCCUACGGGAGGCAGCAGUGGGGAAUUUUGGACAAUGGGGGCAACCCUGAUCCAGCCAUUCCGCGUGAGUGAAGAAGGCCUUCGGGUUGUAAAGCUCUUUCAGCCGGAACGAAACGGUACGCUCUAACAUAGCGUGCUAAUGACGGUACCGGCAGAAGAAGCACCGGCUAACUAC
rnacentral:rRNA from 1 species